AGAGUAAGUAGGAGGCAGGCUCAAAACAAAAGGUAUUUCAUAUGGUGUCAGCAGAGCAGAGGCACAGACAGCUGUGCUCCCUUUGGGGUGCUAUGAUACUUUGGCAUGGCAUGGAGUAGGGAGAUCAUCAGCAAACACAUUAAAGGUUGCUAACAAAUUUGGUUAUAGCAUCUAUUUAGUGUUCUGAGAAAAUGCAUAUGCUUAAUGUGUGAUUAUUGGGUGUGUGGAAGAGGUAACAAUCCAAUACUUGCAUUCUAGAUUAUAGAUUUUAUAAAUAAAUUGUAUGUUUUUACCUCAGAAAACGCUGUGAAUCUCAGGCUAAUGAUUUUCAGGCCACUGCCCUUGAAAUUUAUCUCUGUAUUUCGUUACAAAUUACUUCAUCUGGGGCACCUGAUAACACCUGCAGUAGCAAUGUGUGCAGUUGAGUGGCAUCAGGCUAUUGUUGGUAAUAGAAAGUAAUAUUUAAUCAAUACUGCACAACCUUACUGCAUGGCUGUGGUCUAAGGAAGAAUAUGAGGUCCAGCCCUCCCUGGGCUCAUUUAAAGGCUAGCCUCGGAAGGAGCAACAUCUGCUGGAUGAAGGCUGCUACCUGAGAAGGAGUGUUCUACAGGCAGAGACCCUGGUUGUAACAGAAAGGCUCUGACACUUGAAGGUUUCCCUAGGGCAAGGCUUGAGAACGAUCACCCACUGGCUGUCCCUGCAUAUGAAGGUUUGGCUUCCAGACCGCGAGGACAAGCAUUGCUGCUGUAACCUGGUGAUCCCGUGCUGAUGGACACGACCAGAACCCACUCAUCCUGCAUCCAGAGCCCCAGCGCUGGAAGCCACAGGGUGUCUGGCUGUGCUGCUGCUGCAAUUCCAACAGAUGUUAAUUCUAUGCUUCACGAAGCCUGAUGGAUGCUGCUGUGUUAUGACAUCCGAGCAGGCUCCUCCAUCAGACCCCAAGUCUAACCCCAACCACCCCAUCAUGCCCAUGGAACUACACCCCUUGGUGCCACAUCCCCAUGGUUCCUGAACACCACCAGGGAUGCUGACCCCAACACCCCCUGGGCGGCUGUGCCAGUGAAGAAAGGGAAUCACCUUUGUUUCUCUGACUGACCCACUUGAGGAACUCAAGCAAGAGUUUGGGCAGCGAAAUCCUUCAGCACAGGGAGGACACGAGUGCCUUGCAGACACCUCCCGCAGCACGUCAGCCAGCACCAGAUCAAUCCCAUCCCUAAUUGCCUGCAGCCCCUGCCCUGAGCUGGGACACCAUGGCAGGUGUGGGAAGGGGCUGGUGCCCACACUGGCAGCUGUAGACGAGGGAUGACGCAUCAGAACGCUGCCACAGAGCCCUGCAGGUGUGUAAUCCACAUGCAAAGGAGCCCCUGGGAUGUCAGCGGUGGCUGUGGUGAGUCAGAGAUCACACAGUGAGGCUCAUCUAGAAUGGUUCCUCAGCCCUUAGCAAACUGGAGCACUGCACCUGAAGGCUGUGCUUGAUGGCUGUGGCACGUUCCUCAGAUGCAGGCAGAAGAGGCGGUGCGGGAUCCUCUCCUGCCUUUGCAGCCUUUUCUGGAUGUGGCAAGAGCUGAGAGGGGUGGCACAAGAGCAUGAUGCUGUUUGGGUUCACAAGGCAAAAAGUAGCCCAGACAGACACACUGACCCACAGUAAUGAUGCACAGGAGAACCAAUGCAGUACUGAACAAGGGCUCCUCCAUCUGCCUCCCCCAGCGUGCCCCAGGCAUUUGCACAGUGGUCCACAUGGAGCUAACCCUGAGCACGGGCCACCACCCAGGGGUGCUUCAGUCCCACCCUGGUUCUCAGUGCUUACCUGGGUGAGGAUGAGAGCCCAUCAGGAAGGAUGUUUUCACAUUACAAUUGGAGUUUUGAGAUCUCUGCUAUUCUUUUCUCACUUUUUUUUUUUUUCUUUAAGAGAACAGGUUAUCUGAAAUAAUCCAUCAUCAAAAAGUCCCUGCACCUUUGUCCUCCUUAUCUGAAAUGGUCUGUAUCCCUCCCCCACUGGGGGACUGGCUCACUGCAGGGCAGUUGGACUAGGUGGCCUUUAAGGGUCUCUUCCAACUCAAACCAUUCUGUGAUUCUAUGAUAAAACACGUAUCUAUAUGGAUAGUCAUUCUCUCAAGAUUAGAGUUGGUUCAUUCUGGAACCAUUAAAAUGGGGGCAUCUGAUCAUUCCAAGUUUUUUUCCCGGACCUUUUUAAGAGUAAGAACAGCAAGUUUGCUGUAAUUGGCCUUUUUCCCAGGCAUGGUGCCGUGAGUCAGCGCUUUCUGGCCAGCACAUCCCCUUCCUCCUCAUAUACUCUCUACCAGAUCCAGCAAAGAAAGCCUGAGCAUGGAAGCAUCUCAGAGAACUCUGCGUGUGCAUCCUCACGUAGACCCAUCUCUCGCAAUACAACCCUGCUUGUUGCACUGGGGCUUUUGGCUUUGGUACAUCAGCUCCUGCUUCAUUUAGUCUAAGAGCUCUGAGCUUCUCUACCAGAACAAAACUGCUGCCACAAAAUAUUUUCAACUGGGAGGAAAAUGUGGCUUAUUUUAUACAAAAUGAGAUACAUCCGUUUACAUCAGCUGUGGGAUUGUACUGUACCUUUGAGCUACGCACUGAAUUCCUUGUGGCAAUCCCAGGUACCAAUGGGAUGAGUACAUCCUACAGUUUAUCUAGAAAGAAUAAACCAGGGGAGCCCCCAUACGCAGUGUUGAAAAUUAGGGUCUGGUGGGUGAACUCACUGCCCAUCCAUCCCUUAUUUUGUUCUAUCAGCGGGGCAGGAGGAAUCACACCACACCAACAAAACCAGCCAAAGCAAAUAAAGCAAGAUUCUCUCUUCCUCUGGGCUUUUAUUUGCUGAUGACUAAGCCUAAGCUCUUCAACCUUAGGUAUGAAUUCUGAUCAACACAGCACAAGGGUUUUCUAAAUACAAACAGAAAAAAAGCCACCAAGUAAUUACCCUCAACCAGCCAAGCUCCUUGCAACCUAUGCUGCAGCACUGAGCUCUCACACCUGCACUGAGAGGGUGACCACCCCAGUGCAAAGCAAGAGCAUGAAGAGAGGGGGAGUAUGAGUACAAGGGGGUGAAAGGAAAUGGAUGCUGAUGUUCACAGGCAGAAGGGCAUCUCUGGACAACAGGGACCAGCAGUGUCUGAUUGCACAGCUGGGCUUCUCCAGGCAGCACAAGCAGUGUCUCCACCACAUAUAAAUAAUGCUCUUUCACCCACACCAGGAUGUGCUGUAACAAAUUGUGGGUCCCUCCGGCAAACUGUUCCACAAAACUUGCAAACUUUUUUUCACUCUGUCCACAAGAUACACUCUGUUGGCAAAUCAGGGACAGAGAUGAAGAAAAAUGCUCUUCACAAGUAUUUCUUAAACCCUCCAGCCAAACUGGCUGGUGAGUGUAACAGGCCAGGAUGAUGUGCAAAUACAGAGGAAUAUCCAGAGUGAGAUUACUGCACUGAUCUCCUUUGCAGGGAUGUGUAGGUGUGGAAGAGUCAGCAGGCUGUUGCUGAGAUGCGGGACCCUACCAAUGGAGCAGAGACAGCUGAGAAGGUGGAGGGAAGGAGAGGGAAGCAGGAGAAGAAAACUUCCAAGUGCCUUUUUGAAUUCUAAGUUUUCUUGGACUUGCUCAGCUCUAAUCUUUAAUUCAUAAUUUCAUUACAGUCUCUUUGCUCUGUAAAGUCUGCAUUUCAUGUAAAAGGAGCAGCUCAAACAUCAAUUAUUUGACAUAAGUCAACCCCUUGUUAAAGUCCCCUACUCUACAUAUAUGUUGGCUCCAAUAAAAGAAGCAUUAAACAUUCAUUAAAUUAGAAAUACAUGAAGACAGUGUCAUGCCUCUCUUCUCAUACAGAUAUGCCUAAUAAGCCCAACCUUCCAGAGCAGUGAAAGCAAAACCAUCUCUAAUCCUUUUAGAAAGCCUGACCAUGCAAAGCACCCCAGUCUUCUGCAAUUUGCCUGUGAGUCACCCAGAGAAAUUAGCUACUGCAGGUCAGAUCCUCAGCAGGAGUAAAUGUGAGUCAGCCCCUCUGCCGGGGUUACACCGAAUACCACAGACCCGGGAUUUGGCUGUGGGGUUCUCUUGCAGCAAAAUGGUUUACAGCAAUGUAAUUGGAUAAAAAUGUCAUUUUUAGUCUUCUGCUUUAAACCCAGAAUUCAGUUAGGUGGGGAAUUGCAGUAACCACACCUGCUUGGAUUUCAGUACUGUCCAGUCUGCUUGUGCUCUGCAGCAGGCUCCCAACCUCAGCCUAGGACCUUCUUCUCCAAAAAUAACCCAACCAACCCACCCCCUCCUCUACAAAACACCACCAUGACGAUAGUGGAUCUUGAACCACUGCCGCCGUAGACUUGUGCACACAAAUUUCAGCAAUGUUUUCGCAAGGGGUCACCCCUGGUAAGCAGAUACUUCUUCACAACCAUCUCCAUUUGAAGAACAAUGCAUGCCACGUAUAACAUAUUUCCCACACCUCUGUGAUCUGGGUCUGUUUCACAAGAGCUUUGGAGCAAGUCCCAUCCAGCAAACAGCUUCUCACCAUCCUGCCAUUUAGGAUGCUGGAAGACAUUCAUUCCAAGCUCUGCUUGAAAUGGAGGCAUGGGAACACGUUUAGGAUCCUGGGUACAAAUUCAGGAUAGCAGCUUUUAGCUCCUGCCAUCUCCUUCUAAGCUUCAGGAAGUGGUAUAUUCAACCCAGCUCUGCCGAUGACAAGCUUUGGGAGAUUUAUCCAAAGCUCUUCACCAAUUCUAGAUGGCUUCCAAAAGCUGUGUCCACAGGGUGCAGGUCACAGUCCUGAGUAUAUUUAAGCUGGAAAAUCCAACUGUGUGAGACUUCCAAAACCAAUUGAGGGCUUCAUGGAUACCUCCGCACUUCGCUCUCAUCAGAAAAUUUGGCAUCUAUCUGCCUUUAAACACUUGGCCCGAAGUAAUGGAGGUGAACAAACACCACUGAAAAUCAAUUUCAGUGAAAUAACUCCUUUUUAAAGGAACGGUAAAGUAAGCAUUGAAGUGUUUUGUCAGGUCAAUCAUGGCCUAGUCCAAAUAUACUGCCUUGUUUUCAGUCUUGAUCUUUUACCAGCUUUCAAAUCAAUCCCUUUCUUCCUCGGUUGCUAAUCAAAUCGCUCCUUUAAUUGAGCUAACAGGGCACCACAGUUUAUGUUCCUGCUGGUAAGCACAAAGAACAUUAGCUGACAAACAAUCAAAAAAGCAUCCUUUGUAGUAGCAGGAAUUUUCUUCCAUGUUCAAGCUUCAAAAGCAUUGAUUUUCAUAGCUAGGCAUGAAGCCUUGACGGGCUUUGCCGUCACAAUGUUAAGGCAGCUUCUACAAGUUCUGCAAAAAUGGAAGAACUCUCCUGACUUGUGUUGGUGUCCAAAAUGGAAGACUCUUGGUUCAGGAUGGAGGCUCUACAUCUACACAUAAGGCUGCGAAGCAUCCCCCCGUCCCCACAUGCUGGGCAAAUGCUGCUUGAAGAGGGGUAAAUCCCUCCUCCGGCCCCUUGUGUGCCAUUGGGAUGGGCUGCUCAUGGCGAUGGGGUCAACUGAGUGCUCAAAAAUCCAUCUGGCUUCCACAAAUACUUUACCAACCACAAGCAAAAGCGUGACACGGCCACGCUGCUCUACCAGCUCAUUCUCCAGGACCUAUGGAUGGAGUUGUGGUGUCCAGCAAGGUCCAGUGUGGGGAUACGUCUUCGUCUUGGUCGGCCACGCUCAGCUUGCAUCUGCACAAGCAAUCAGCAUAUUGCAUAGACUUUGACUGAAGGGUUUUUAACUGCAACCUUAAAAUCUGGCCAUUUCAGGACUUCCUGAAAUAAAUUAGAAGAGGAAUUUUAUUUAGUUUUUUUUUUUUUUUUCUCCUAAAGGAAUUUCCCCAUGGCUCCAAACCAAUGUUUUCCAUAAAGCAAAUGAAUAUGAAGUCUUCUCAUGUCGUCUUGCCACAUUUUCUGUGUUGUCUUUAUUCAGCAACAGUUGCACAUAAUCAAAUGGCAGACAAAACAUCCUCUCCCCCAGACCUUCAUUUUUUCCUCACACUUUCAAUAACUUUUCUCCUCAUCUCAUCGAUUUUUUUGUCAAUGACCAUGUAAGAAGCAGAUGCUUUCCAAAACAAUCACCUGGAGAGUCAGCGAUCCACAUCUUGCAGAUAAAUAACAAGCUCUAUUUAUGCAAUAAAGCACCGGUAACAUAAUAUCCAGGCAAUGGGUUAUAUGAUAUUAAAAUCUUGGCACACUUCAAGAUAUCUGAUAAUUCAGAACAAUGAAGACUAUGUGGGGAUGUUCCUUCUGUCAGCACUGGUUAACAACUAGCACUGUUAAUCCAUUGCCUUCACUUAAAAUACAAUAACUGAUUUACAUUCAUAUGGAGCCCUUUCUCCCCCUAAAUCCCAAAGGGCUUUGCAAAAUUAACACCCUGCACUGCUCCUGCAGCACAGUACCUAGGAGCUGCUUGGGUUCUCUUCUGCUUCAGAAGGAACAGCUAUGGCCAGUGACUAAAUGGGCAAUAUCUAGGCAACAAGGUUUUGCUGUGAGGCCUCCCCACCCAAAUGAAAGCUGUCUAAUUUAUAGAAGUAGAAUAGGUUUAAUGAACGUGCUUUCUCCUGGUGGAUGGCAGGUUGGGAGCAGCCAGGCCUGGGGGCUGCCUGCUCGCGUCUCCAAAUCAUCUCCCCAGGUUGUCCACCUGAAGGCACAUGGAGCCAAUUGGGGCACCUCUCUGGUUCUUGGGGACGUCAAAAAACCACCUGCUUAGGAAAAAAAAGACAUUUCCACAGACUGCUUACUAGGAAAAGGCAGCCCCGAAGGUCAGCCCCUGCGUGUUGUUCUACAAAGCGCCAUGCAAAAUCCACUUUGGGACAAAUGUAAGGCAUGUUUGUUACAGGAAAGGCUGCCCUUGGCUCUGAUGCGCUGGGACAAUCCAACAGGGAUCUUCUGGGCAAAACACACGGUGUGACAGAAGGAACAGGCUGGGCUGUAGAAUGCUUAUUUCAAAUUAACUCCAACUGAGAAAUAAUGAGCAGCAAGUUUACGUUCUCAGUAAAUUAAGAGAGCAGCUUAGGUAAACUGUGGCUUUAUGUGCACAUAAAUAAAUUAUUAUUUACUCGGUUUUGUGCUCAUGCCCUUAAAUACAAAGAUGCUCGUAUGGAAUUAAUAUUUAUAGCACAUUAUAAUAAAUAUCUGUAACAGCUUCACCUGAAUAUACGCUAUUUCACCAAGGUAAAAUCUGCUGAAGGUCAAAGCAAUCUUUUACUUGUGUAUGGAGGGCAGGAUCAGCCUCUUUACUUUGAAAUCUGCAUCAACUGCGAUAAUUUAAAGCUUUAAUUAAAGACUGGGUGUCAGAUUAUCUAGGAAACGUCUCCCUGCUGCCCAGUAUUUCAUCAGGGAUGGCUCCAGAAGCCCACACUGGAGUAAGCACACUGACCAGGACGUAUUUAGCUUUUAUCUGUCUUACUGCGUAACCAAUGCUUUGGUUGAGGGUUGGUGGCAUCAAAAAUUGAAUUAAGAGGAAAAGCCUCCAAAUAGACCCCCAAAUAGAAACAUACGGCGCUUAUUCUGCUCAUCCCUCAAGUAAAUGAAAGUGCCAAGGCAAAGCCUAAUAUUUUAGCAAUUUUGUUAAUGCAUGUGUAAAUGGGCGAAGGCGCCUUUGAAAUGCUCUGAAAAGGAUUUCACACUUCAGAGAGGGGAAAAAAGUUAACAAUUCUAUUGUGGCUCUUAUUGGAAUUUUUAAAUUAAUUUCCCGGACACAGCUGUGCCAUAGAAUCCCCCACGACAACAAAUUUUUGCUAAAGCUGAGAUUAUUUUCGGAUACGAUUCUGAAGGAGCAAUUUGUGAAACUGGGAGCAGGGUGGGCCCCUGGGAAUCCCUCCACCCUCUGCUCUCCUCCAGCCCUUCCUCAUGCACUGUGAGCCUCGUUUGAAACCACAUCUGGUUUUUAUUCCACAUUGUUUUUUGCCUCUGCAGAGCAAAAGGAGGAGGGAUGCGCCAUGGCUUUGCAAAGUACAGGGGGGGAAGAGAUGAGCGAUGAUAUGGUAGGGAUCCCUCCUGUCAUAGAAUCAUAGAAUGGCCUGGGUUGAAAGGACCACAGUAAUCAUCCAGUUUCAACCCCCCUGCUAUGUGCAGGGUCGCCAACCAGCAGACCAGGCUGCCCAGAGCCACAUCCAGCCUGGCCUUGAAUGCCUGCAGGGAUAGGGCAUCCACAACCUCCUUGGACAAUUUGUUCCAAUGUGUCACCACCCUCUGACUGAAAAACUUCCUCCUAAAAUCCAACCUAAACCUCCCCUGUCUCAGUUUAAGACCAUUCCCCCUUGUUCUAUCACUAUCCACCCUCAUCCCUACAAACUCACCAGAUGGUUCUAGACCAUGUCCAAAGGACUAAUGGAAAGGCAAAUAGCAACCCCGCAGUGAUGCAUAAAAGACUUAACAACCACAUGCCAUCAUAAUGAGAGCUGACUUAUGGGGAGGAACAAACAGAGGUUUGGAAACAAAGAGUGUGAUGUCAGGGGGGAAAGGAUGACACCUGGGCAUGCCUAUAGCCCUAGGUGCAGGGAGAUGGGGAUUGUGGGGAAGAUUUCUGCUUGGAAAGGCUGUGGCAUGAGCUGCAGGAUUGCUUGUGGACAGGAGGGAUGGCACAGCCCACAGCAGCCCCGAGCUGGACUUCAACACUGGGAGGCACGGUUUCCAUCCCAUAGAGGAGAGAGUUAACAACAGCUGACACACUUUUGUCUGGAGAAGUUACAGCGCCUUGAAAUAACAUCUCGGGGCCAUAAUUCUGCGGUCUGUCACUACCAGGAAACGUGAAAGCCAGUGACCUUUCAUCUCCACGACAGAAAUGCUGCGCAGCACCUGGAGCCAUCGCCCUCACAAUGUGCUCUGACAAACAGGGCCACGGGACCCCCGAAAAUCACCUCCUGCUGAACUCUGCUCUGGGUCCUUCGCCAAGCAGAGCUGGCUUUGCGCGAGCUGCACCGCGCUUAGCAAGGCAAGAGACAACAGUUCAGUAUUUCUUUUGACAAUAAGGGAUAAAUCUGCUUUUCAGACUGAUCUUAAACGAUGGCGGAGGGAGGGAAAUUGAUAUUGGCUUUUUAUGAAUCUUCGGGUCAGGUACGUUCAAGUCAACAGAUUUUUGCAUUAACCUCACUGCUUUGCAGCACUUUUGCCCUUGGCAAGACAUAAUUAAGAAAGGCACGAAAAUCUAUCUGAACGUAUCAAGAGGAAAUUAUUCUCCACUUAAUGGCAGCAACAACUAAGCAAGCAGGCAGACCACGCUGCUAGCAGAGCGCAGCAAAUGAUGCAGGGCUCUGUUUUAACCCCAAACACCAAAAUUUUAAGGAUCAGCUUCUGAAAUGAGGAUUUGCACUACGUGUGGUUCCGGGGAUUAACUUUUUCUUCCCCCCAACAGCUAUAUCCCUUCAGCUCUUCUCUUUGCCAGUCUAAAAGGAUGACCGCAGACACUGAGGCUGAGCUAAAACCUUUUCAUCACACUGAGACAUGGCACUGUAAUGUCUUCACUGCUUUGGUAGGAAGCAAAAGCUACUAGAUGGAAGGGGGGGGGGGGGGGAAAUAGACAUUAAAGAAAAAGGGAGUUUGGUCAUUUAAGUAGGACUGUCAGCUUGUGUUAUCUUCAUGCAUUUGUGAAACCAAACUUUAAUUGACUGGCUGCAGUGGAGAGCUGAAAGAUAAAAUUGUGGUCUCAAGAUGAGCAGACAGCAUAAAGCGUUGUGAUCCUCAUUCAUUAGGAUUUGUCAGAGGGUUUCAGAGGGGAAGAGAUGCAGCCGUCUCUGUUAUUCUUUCAUAUGAAGUUACCAAAACAUUAGAGUGAGGCAGAGGGUUGGCUCUGCUCUUGAAGCCGCAUCCAAGAAGAGCAACAUGGGAUAACAGAGACUAUUUUGGCACCACCUUAUUUCUGUCUCUUUGUGAAUUAUUUCAUUCUGCUUCUGAAGGAUAAAGUCCACAGCACCUGCACGCAGAUAUAACCCAAAGGAUGACCACACCACCGCAUCGCCUUCAUUCACUGUAAGCCCUGGUCUCCCUGGCCCCAGAGACACCCAAGGUGUGUAGGCUGCUUUUAAGAGGGUGUUAAGAAAUACUUCCCUGCCUAAACUAGGUUUCAGAGAGCUUUGUAUCUGUGUCUUCAACAGGAGAGGGAAGAGAGGAGUAGAGAAACUCAAGAAACCCAUGGACAAAGCCCCAGUAAUGGGCCCUUUGGCAUCUAGCUGAGGGUCCAACCACUACCCUGUACCCUGGAAUUCUUCAUUUACUGGAGGAAACAGUCAUGGUGGGGAAGGGUUGGUAGGGAAAUGCAGCAACUCCUAGACUUCUGUGAAGACACCUUUGAGUGUGUACUCCUGAGAAACCUGAGCAAUGCUCACAGCUUGGAUUUGUGGGAUGUGAACCAGCAUGGAACCCUGUAUGCAAAGGGAACACAGAGGUGGUCAGACACACACUAACGCUGUUCAUUUGGGUUUAAAUGAGCCUUCCUGUAAAUGCUUGCCUGGUGACAGACAUGGAGAUGGCCAGUGCAACUCCCAGUGCAGGGUACCUCUCAACAGUCUUCUUCUAGUGCUGGAUGGGACACCUCACACCCUGCCACGAUGGGCCAUACCCCCAAGAUGCUGGAUAUAGCUGGCUAAAACACCUUCUCUCUGAAGUUCGUUGAUGACAAGCUAAUGACAUUUCCUAUUGGACAUUUUUCUGCUUUUCAAUAACAACAUAAAAUCCUAAACAAAAACCUUAUAAAACAUUCUGGAGCCAAAAUCAAGAUUUCAUGUAGACAUCUGGAUUUCAAUAUCAUUGGCAUACCUUUCCAAACUGCUCAGAAUUUUUUCCAAUUCCUUAAGUAGGAAUACUUUGGAUUUCCAAUAGUUUGCUUUUUCUCUGCCUCAGAAGACCAGAAAAUGUGCCAAAAAUGUUAUUUCUCUGUAAACAUUUUCAUUUGUGAUUCAAAAGCAACUGUUACUCUUUCAUUCUACAGUGGUGAUGAGUGUAAGCGGAAAUAUGUAAGGAUAGCAAAUUCUAAACAUGAGAAGAUGAGCUGAUGCAGCCACUUAUAUGUUAAGAAAGCCAUGAAAAAGUUUAUGUGAAGCCAGCUCACUUCUCGAUCUGUCUUCAUAUCUACAUUAGGAGAAAGGUACUUUUGCAGAAAUGUAUGUAUCUAAGGGCUGUGGAAUGGGACCAGAGAGACCUUCUUGGAAACAGAUUUAUUUUCCAAAGAGGUACUUUCAGCCAUCCCAAAGCCUUUCUUGGAAGUAUUGCCAAAUCCAAGACCAAUUCAUGAAACUGUUUCAGCAAGACAGUGAGGGCCAACACUAUACACACAGACUCCAGCACACAACUUACAGUGUUACUGGCUUGGCCAGAGUUUUAGCAGACCCAGAGGGAGUUUUGUCAUUGAUCUCAAUGAGUUUUCCCCUUUCCUUAAGUAAUAAUCACUGGCACUUAAUGCAGGGACAAAGAUUCUGCUCUUUCCUUGGAUACUUGAUUUCACGUGAGACUAACCAUGAGAAAAAAAUAAAGCAACGACAUGAAAUGACCAACACCAACAUCAUGACUCAAUCCUAAAAAGCCUUACUUAAGCCAGCAAACCCACCAACGUCAAUGAGACACAGGGCAGAAAGGGGAGCCUUAAUUUUCAGAGCCACUGUCUCGUGUCUGACACCCACACACAAGGAGAAGUCACAGCUCCGGUGCCAGUCUGUGCCAAUGGAAGCAAACCUCUUGGCGAUGCAUCAGUAAUGACAUUUAAUGAAAUGUUUCCUUUAUAUCUCUGUUAAAGCCAAUACAGUACUUUCUUACCAUUUUUGCAGACCGGACAACACUGCUCUGGUUCAUAGACCGGGUUGACACACUCGGGAACUGCGCAGUCUGCUACAACACAGUGAACUUCAUUGCUGGGCUCGCAGCGACACCAUUCGCAUGGCGAGGGCUAGGAACAAAUCUCAAAUUAGCCCAUUUCCUCCCGUAGCUCAAAAGUUUGCAACAUUUCUAUCUUGCCAUAAGAUAAACACAUCAACGUUUAAUACCUCUUGACUGCAUUGGUUCAUCAUGGGUAAUACAAAUCGACCUAUAGGACAAAAUAGCAACAUCUGAAAUAGGCAACCCAAACAUCAGAAAAAGCAGUCAAUGUGAUGUUUUUCCCAGAGAGGGUGCAUGGUUGUUUUUAAUCUUUUGCCAGACUUGAAUUUUCUUUCAGUAGGAAGACCAAGCAGAGGCCACCAGGUCAGAUGAAGCGUCCUACGUGCUCAUGUGACAUAUAGCACCCAGCUCUGCUCUGUUUGUUAUAUAGGGUCUUUGGAAGACCAUGAAUGGUGGCUUUUCCCAGGAACAGACAGAUCCAGAAGGACAUGCUGAUCUUCCAGAUCACACUCAUUAUCCCACGUAGACCACCACAGGCAGCAAGCCCCAGGCUGUCAGUAAGAUGCUGUGGGGCUGGCCCUUCCAUCAACCAGCCCCUCCAUGGGUUUGGCUUCCAGUUCUCAGAGCACAUGAGAAUGGUGUUGGAGGGGCAAAAACAUUCAAUUCUGUAUUUGUGCAGGACCUGAAUCGAGGGUCUGUAAGCACUCCUAUAACACAACCAUCAGACCUGGCCCUGGCCCCGCUUCUGCCUGUUUCAACAAGGUUUGUGAGAAAGUGCUUUGCACUGAGCAUGUGAAUAAUUAAGAGCCUGAAUAACUGCUGAAGUCAGUGAAUUUGGGAUUAAAGCACCCAGCUAAAUGGCUUUGUUUAAGCUCCAUCAAUUCAAACAGGAAUCUAUAUGCCUCCAAAUGGUAGAGUUGUCACUGUCUCGCUCCAAGAGAAGCUGUGAAAAUCUGUUGAAAAAUAGAAAGGUCAGCGUGCAAGGCUCCCAAUACCCUUAUGUGUCUGCAAGUGCGAUGAGAGAGUGGCAACAGAGCUAAGGACACCAAGGAACCUGAAAGGAAAAAAACAUCCUUUUGGUACCUGUGGGUUCAAGGUCUAACUCCCAGCUCCUCAGCAAUGGUAGAUCCAUUGCUAACACUUGAGCUAGUAAAUGUGAGUGUUGGAACAAAUCCUGCUUUAUAUCGCUGGGAAUCUGCAGCAGUGGGAUUUCCUCUGCAUUCAAAACAAGCAAGUGGAUGCAAACGAAAAAAGGCAUCAUCCCCAUGUGCUUCAAACCUCAGUGAUGCAUCACUCACAUCUACAAGACAGGCACAACCCCGUGAGCCCUGGUUCUGGCAGGUAAAAAGCUUUUCACUUCACCUCUAAGAAGCUCCAUAUGUCUCGCGUCAAAUAAUUUAUUCCCUGGAAAUUCAUUUCUACCUUAAAAUGCACUAAUUAAAGCCUCCCUUGCUUUGUCUCAGCAUCUGCAGUCUAUAAUUCCCAUCACCUCUUAUUUGCUCACGGCUUUGGCAAUUUAGAUAAAAUCAGCACUCCUUGAGCAAGGGAAGAAGUCUGUGGAGGUGGAAUUCCUCUCUCUAAUUAUCUUUCCUCAUUCAAUCCUGCUUUGAUUUCUGUCUGAAGCACCAGGAAUCUAAAUUCAUUUGACUGACAUUUCUUAUUCAAGGCUAUUUAAUAAGAAGAAACAAUGCAAAAGAAAAUAGACAGAACUAUUUGCUGAGGGAUCAAUAAGAAAAUUGCUGCUUUGUUUUUACUCAUUUUAAUCGCUAAUUAUAUGGAGCAGUAGAAGUAGAUCUUAUGAUUCGUGGAGGCUUUCAGUGAUGUAUUCUUCAGGGCUUGCCCCCACCUCCACUACUCCAGUAGCUGCAAUUCUAAGAAAUAAUGUGGUGCAUUUUCAGGACUGCAGCUCAAACUAUUGCUUGAAGAGGAUCAGCAGAUGCAGAAGAUGCCCCUGAACAACCGUGCAACUGAGUAAAUGAGACAUGACAUACACAUCUUUUGCUAUUGUGUUGUCGGUGUAACUUGAAAAUGACACUGUAAUAAACCAUGAUGCUGCUUGACACUGAAAGCAGCUUUUCAGGAGGGAAGAACUGCAUACAAUUAUCAGAAUAAAAGCAUGCCUUGCUAGUGCAAGGAGCAGGCAGACAGCAAACAAAAAGGCUGCUCUGGCAUGAAUGGCAGGACUUUCUCAGCCACCUCCUCUUCCCCACCUUACCAAGGUCAAACGACAUGGUCUUGACUCCAGGAUCUCCCUCUGUUUGAGCACUUUGUUCAUUUACUGGUGCCUCUGCACUGUGGCUUGCCUCCACGGAUGACUCCAGCCUUCCUACCCACUUCCUUUAUGAACAUCACAGCACCCUCUCCCACUGGGUGUGCCUUGGGAUCACUUUACAGGAUCUACCAUGCAGCUCUGCCGAUCUUCACAAGUUCCAGAAUCUAGAUUUAAACAUCUAUCACCUGUGGAAGAUGGAUGGUUUAUCCUUUUGUAUCUGCUGAACUUCAUCCACUAGUCAACACCAGUUCCUGAGAAGAUGCUCCCAUCACUACUGAAAAACAAGGUUGAAAAAUUACAGAGGGUUUCUUUAGUAUGAUAGAGAAAGGACACAAAUCAGAGGCUAUGCCACAUUCCCACAUGGACAGUGAAUGCACUUUAUCGUGUCCCAUGAGAUGAUGCUCUGGGAAAAAGUGCUAAGAUUAAAGGAUCAUAAAAGGCUUGGGCUAGAAGAUGAUUUAUAUACUCCACCUGUCCAAGGCAGAACAAUCUCUGAGAAGAACCCUAGGGAAGGAUUUGUUAAGAAGGAUUUCAAGACACACUGGUGCAGAAACAUUCUUUUCACCAUUGUCCAAAAUGAAAGGAUGUUCACAAUCACAACAGACAGAACUGCAUGGCCGCUUACUUUUCAAUGCGUGUUCUGAGAAACAGACUUGCCAUUAAAACUAGAGGAGCGAACUGAUUGUUUUUGGCAAGGAUUCCAGUACCACAUUUUGACUUGGGAAAACUGGUGCAAAGCAUCUCAAAGCCUUUUUUACCCAUUUUUCACUCAUGUCAGGGGUGAGAGCACUAACUUUUGGGAGAACGGGUGAAUGCCCUGUUUGAUGCUAUUGUCCAUGCAAGGGCCAAGUCACGCCAAGAUGUUUGUAGGUGGAUGUCACCAACAUCUGGCCACCAUCCCAUGGCUUCUGGGAACAGAGAAAAUGGGAAAUGGAGCCCAAAAGACCUUCUCAUUGAUCCUGCUUGAUCUCUUCUCCUACCAAUUGCUUUAAGAAGACCAAAGAAGCGCAAGGAUGUUUACAAGCCACACCUAAAAUCAUGGCCCAACUUCCAUUUCAGUUCCUGGAUUACUGAUCUCAAGGAGGGCUGUGACCCCAGGUCUGGCUGGGGCUGCAGGAAGGAGGAGAGCUCAAUCCAAUAGCAUGGCUGGAGAACCUGAGUCUCAGGUGUUGUCAAAUGGGAAACAUCUGCAAUCCACUAGGCUCGUUAACAAAGAAAGAGGGAAGGAAAAUUAAAAGAGAGGAUAGAGAAUAUGCAUGGCUAAUAAAGAUUUUAUGUCUGUGAGCACAUAAUUAUAAACUUGAUAGAUGAUAUAAACAAACAAAUGGAAAAGGCAGCAAAGGAAACAGAAUGAGAAACAAGUUACACUCUGAGCAGGGGAAGCCACACCAGCGUGGAUACCCUAUCUCCUAAACUUUACUCUUGCUUCCCAACAUUUUUACCUUCUCUAGGAGCAAAUGCCAGCACACAUGCCAGAAUGAUGCUUGCUAACAUCACCCAACUACUCCUCACAAUGACAAGGGGUUCCCUUCCUUACAGGACUGGGCACCAGCAGGUCCUUCCCUAGCCCUUAGGUUUCAUACAACUACAAACUUCAUACCUCUGAGAGCUCUACACUGAAGGGCUUUAGCCAGACAGAUCACACGAUCAAACAGUUCUUCAGCCUAAAACACUAAUCCUUCCCAGACUCUAGGGAGAGGUGGAGAAAAGAAAAUGGAUAAAUGAAUUCAAAGUGUCCUUGCACUCUCUGCCUAUCGCACAAUGGCCCUUCAUCGAUCACACACAGCUACUGCCAAACAGCUACAGAGUAAUACAAACUCCACGUCUAUUAUAUCACAGAUUGUUGAUGUUUGCUUUGAGGAAGGAAAUAGAAAGGCUUUGUGUAAGUGUUUACAUCCAUCUAACCAUGUUACAAUAGAAACAUACUGAUCAUCACACAGGGCUGUUCAAGUUAGUAGGAGACUUAAGUAUUUCCACUUAAUUCAACAGACCUGCAAUUGGACCCUCUGAUGCUUUUCACAUUUAAAUAGGUACCUUUACAGAAUAACCAGGAAAUAUGCUUGGUUGACUGGAGUAAGAAAUGGCACAGAACAGAAAUAAACCCAGUGGAAUUUCUUCCUGAGCCCCAUGGGAACUCAAGGAUCCAUCACAUCACAGCAAGUGCCAAAAAGGUGCCAAGACUCUGGGUAUCACUGGGAACCUUCACCAAGCUUAUUAACUUUACUGAAAGGGAAAUGGUACGUAAGUAUGUGCCUUUUUUAGAUUAUGCUGCCAAGGCAAAACUGCUGUUCAUGGCAGUUUCACUGAACAAAGAGCUGCUAUGCUUUGUUCCCUUUAAGAGUGUGCUAGAAAAAGAAGUGCAAAUGCCUUAAAAGGGUAGGAGCUGCCACUAUCUCCAUUUCUGCUGAUGUCAAGGUCGUUUUGAAUGCAAUGGAUCCGACCUGGCAUGUCUGCACGCAUUUGUCAGUACUCUGCCUUAUGUUUGGAUCCACUAGUUGUAUCCACACGCACUGCACCCUUCUGGUAAGGACUGGAUGUAUCUGAUCCCUUCGGAGCACUGAGACCCAUGGGAAGAACCCCAAAGACCAUCUUCACCACCACCAAUCUCUCCAACUUUUAGAUUUUGAGAAACUUUGUACCAGUGUUCACACAGCAAUUGCAUCCCCUCCCUCCUCAGAUGGGCUGUGCUGAUGGCAUCCUGCUCCGUGCAGAUAGAACAGCAGGGGAAGCAGAGCAAUGCAAAGCGAAGUCUGUCAAAUUGGGCACUUACAUCUUAAGAGCAGCUGUAACUUUUAAUGACACAAAGGACAAUAGCAAUUCUGAUGGAGAUGAUUUCUGUAGCUAGUUUCAGGUGGUGAAUUUAUUGGCAGGAAGCAAGAAAGGGAAGAAAGUGACAAAGAACCCAAUGUAUAAAAUCGGAGGUGAAAAUGGUUUCCAUAUUACAGCUGAGGUGGGAAGUCAUAAACCAGGGGAGAUGAAUAAAGAGAAACUGGGACAGCGUUCACUGAAGAUACUCCUGGAGUUGAAAUUAGAAUCAUUUUCAUUGUUAUUGAAAUUGCCUGUGAUCUCAGGCAGAUUAGCGGGAGAUUGUAGGAAAGUUCAGAGGAUGCUUACAAUGGAGAAAUUUGGCAGAUGUCAAACUGCAGAGAACAGUGAGUCCCACCUGAAGGCGAGACAGAUUCCAGCACUGCUCCUUCUGCCCUUACUAUGAGCAGCACACAAGUCACUGUCUAGAUUGUGUUAGAAGUCUGGUAAAUGGCUCUAUGCAUGUGUACGUGUGUGCUGAUACAAUAAUGUGCAUGGGGCAAAAACUGCAAUCAUUUCUGUCACUUAAAAAAACAACCAAACACAUCCAUCCAACUUGGCAGAGACAGAGUAUCAGCUACACUAGGGCAACUGCAAUGGAUUUCCCAUUGGUGGAAAGUUGCUCAAAUAAACAAUCUGGUGAGUGAUUAUAGACGAGUAUAAUGACAGAAAACACCAUCGGGUUGCAAAUGAUUUUGCAACAGGAAAAAAGUACUAAGUCAUUAGAUAAUUUACUUGCAGUGAAAUACUGGAGCUGUAUCCUACUCACAUGGAGAACUGGCAAUACAAAUGAGAUGUGCCAUCCAAAACUUGAAAAAUGCUUGUACCAUGCUGCAGAUGGGCUAAAACAAGGAGCUGGAUUCCAAGAAGCUGAUGCUGAGAUGAGAUUCUGUUUUUCUAAGGGAGCCUUCAGUACAAGACUGGAAUGCAGUGACAUUUCUAACUCAGUGCAAAAGACAAGAGAUGCAAAUACGUUACAGAAAACAUUUUCUAUUGAUGGUCACUGCACCCUAUACUCGAUGCAGUCACAGCACAAGGAGGUUGAAGAUGACCUGCCUAAUUUUCUUUGCCCAGAGAUGCUCUAGCUUGUCAACCAAAGCUCUGUUCUGGUUGUUCCUAACUGAUACUCAUCUAUUCACAGCUACCACAGUCUCUCCAGCAGCCCAGUGGCUGGACUUUGCACUUCUAUCAUUGCUACAUGCCAUACAACCCAAUGGGUUUAUGAAUCUCCUGGGUCUGGAGAGCCACUCCCUUAUCAGCUGAUGAGAGAGAAAUGACCUUGAGCCAAGCACUGGCCCUUUUUCCAUGGGUGCUGCACAUCUGCAGUCUCGUGGUUGCUUUUUUCCACUGAGAGCAUAACAACAUGACUCUGCACUUCUGUAGGAAUGCUCUCUUUGUUUUGAUAUGUGUCUCAUUUUAUUCCUGACAAUGGUUGCGGACCCCAGGGCAGAGAGAAUCGAGGUCUACACUGCUUUGGAGAUGAUUUUUAUGACUUGAUUACAAUACUUUUUCAGUUCAGACAUGCACAGGGAGCAGGACUUCUUUCAAAAGACUACGGACAUGACAGACAGGACUGUGGCUCAAAUGUGGGAUGUACAGACCCAUUUGGACAUAGGCAGAAUGUCAGUGGGCACUUCACAUUUGUUAAGCUCCUUGUACAUUGGGAGGGAAACCGGGCCCAGCUGGCAGCUUUCUGCUCUUCAUUCCUCCCUGCCUGCUCUCACCAUUGCCCAUAAAGGAGCCAUGUCAAGGAUAAAUUCUCCUGGGGUAAGGAGAAGGGAACCAAUUUUGGGAAGCUGAUCCUUUCCAUGUUAACUUUCCCUACAGCUCAAUCUGCUGCUUCCUUCUUCAUCCAUGCCAGAAGAUGGGAGAAGGAGGCAAGAUCAGCAGCUUUUUGC